CCGGCGACGGCUCCCAGUCGGCGCACGCACAGGCCGCUGGUGACCGGGUCAGCGCCGCUCAGGAGGCUCGCGAUGGAGUCGGCACAGACAGACCCGCCGCGCCCUGCCCGCAAGAUAUCGAGCCCGGUUACGUGUUUGGCGGUUGGUAGUUACGUGACCGUGGCGGUGGUUGUCGUCGUCAUUGUCCUUUGUGUGUACGCGCUGGGUGAGCGGGCGGAGACGGACCGGCCGGACGCUCGCGACACCGCGGUCCGUAUGGCACUGAUGGCUCGGGUGCUGCUCGUCCGUCGGGCCCCCUGUCCGGACGGCAGUCCGCGGCUGCGCGGCGGGGGCUGUCGACCAGCAGUUUCCCUGACGGCACGCCGGCCACCAGUGCCACUGGCUUUUCUCUUCAUCUGAUGCAUGGCGAUCGGGCCGAACAUUUUAUUUUAAGUGAGGCAACUUCAGCGCCCGUAUCAGAUGCAUACCUCGAACCUGGUAACAUCCGUGGACGCCGAAGCCGACGGCGCACCCCCGUCAUCAGCAGGACACGGCGCAUCCCCGUCAUCAGCAGGAUAUGGCGCAUUCACGCCAUCAGCAGAACAUGGCGCAUUCCCGUCAUCAGCAGAACAUGGCGCAUUCCCGUCAUCAGCAGGACAUGGCGCAUUCCCGUCAUCAGCAGGAUAUGGCGCAUCCCCGUCAUCAGCAGAACAUGGCGCAUUCACGCCAUCAGCAGAACAUGGCGUAUUCCCGUCAUCAGCAGGACAUGGCGCACCACCGUCAUCAGCAGGACGAGGCGCUUUACCACCAUCAGCGGGAUAUGGCGCAUCCCCGUCAUUAGCAGGACAUGGCGCACCCCCGUCAUCAGCAGGACAUGAGCAUCAACAAAACGCUGCGCUGUACCGCCCUAGCUGGGUUGGGUUGCACUCGGCGUCUGCUUACGCCCGCCAGCCGUGCGCGAAACUGCAACCCGUGGUACACACGCUGCAGACAAUGUCAAGGGUGAUCUCACAUGCGAAGCCGGUGUGUUUAUCACCAGUCUGUGGUUGCUAUGUUGUCGGUACGUCAUCGUAUGUUUCUCGUGAAAUAUGUCUGAAAUUUGUCAGUUAAUUGUGUUUUGUUUCAUCUUAACCCGUGUAAAUACACGUUAU